AUACGUGUAGGGUGGAGAUGCACAACCGUCGGACUGCGUAGCAACAGGCUUUACAAGACGCGUCAUUAUCGUCCGCAGCGACUGGUUGAUUCCUCCCCUGACUGAGUGCUUCUGUCACCACAGCAAGCAGGAGCGUCGUCGCAACCCAACCGCCACAGGCCAACGGUUGCUAGACACUGGAAUGAUUUACGCCCAUUCCUGACGCGCCCUGACACCGACCGUGAGAGUCGUGUGUGCCAACCGCCGUUUCCGGCAGCCCCGGAAACCAU
rnacentral:ncRNA from 1 species